rnacentral:rRNA from 1 species
CAAUAGCGUAUAUUAAAGUUGUUGCAGUUAAAAAGCUCGUAGUUGGAUUUGUGGCGUACGGUGUGUUCCGGGCACUUGUUGUCUGAGUAACCUGCUGUUGCCAUCCUUGGGUGGAACCUGUGUGGCAUUAGGUUGUCGUGCAGGGGAUGCCCAUCAUUUACUGUGAAAAAAUUAGAGUGUUCAAAGCAGGCUUAUGCCGUUGAAUAUAUUAGCAUGGAAUAAUGAGAUAGGACUUUCUUGCUAUUUUGUUGGUUUGCGCAAAGAGGUAAUGAUUAAUAGGGACAGUUGGGGGUAUUCGUAUUCCAUUGUCAGAGGUGAAAUUCUUGGAUUUUUGGAAGACGAACUACUGCGAAAGCAUUUACCAAGGAUGCUUUCAUUAA